rnacentral:lncRNA from 1 species
UUUCGAAUAAUUUCAUAAGAUUUUAGACAUUGCUCCAAACAACAAGAACUUGAAGAAUUUUAUAUUUAUUCAUAUUAAAACCCCCCAUUUUUACAACAAGUGUGACUCAACUCAAAAUGUUUUGAAAUCACAAAUCUUUUGUGCUAAAUAAUGAGCAUUUUCUUGAAACCAAUUAAGGUUCUCGAGAGCAAAACCAUGAUGCCAUAGCUUUUUCGAAACUUCAACUUAGUUUUCAACUGGAAUUGAUCUAAAGUUGAUGAAUUAACAUCUUUCCCGAGGCUAAUUAAUCUCUACCAUCAAAUUGAAGGACAUAGUUAUGGUCAAUAACAAAUGAUUCAGCAGUAAAGUACUAGUCAAAAGUACAAAAAAAAAACAUUAAGAGCAUUUCCAACUCAAUACCUUAUUUUAAGGUUCCGACGACUUUGCUGUUAAUCAGAAUGUCGUCGGAAAUUCGUCGGAAUAUACCGACGAACUUCCGACGACUACAACGGUUACAUUUUUUAUCGGAAUGUCGUCGAAAAGUCGUCGGAAAGUUCCGACGAACCAUAUUUCGUCGGAAUUCCGUCGGAAAUGGCCGACGGAAUUCCGACGACUUAAUUUUUUUGGAUUUGGUCAGAAAUUUGUCAGUAUUCCGUCACAAAUGUCCGACGACCUUGGUGUCUGUCGUAACCUCCGUCGGAAUUCGGUGUGUUUUCUUGUAGUGUGUAGUCUCUACACAGUUGUGCACUUGUUCUCUUGUGGUGUCACGACAUUGAAUUUAUGAAUACAGCUAUGAGCUAUCUUAAUUAUGGAUAUAUAUUUAUUCUUUUGAUCGAAAAAUAUACUCCCUCCGUUUUAUACUAAGUGUAAUUGUAGAAAAAAAUUUUUGUUACAAAAAUAAGUGUUGUUUUCGACUUUCAAUGCAAACUUUAUUAAUUUUAUUCAGCAAUUUAUUUUUCUAUUGAUUGAAAUUUGGUUAGAUGUAUAGGUAAUAGUAUUUUUAUAUAGGAAAUAUACAAAAUUAAUUGUUUCAUUAAUCUGUGUGUACAAACCCAAAACGACAUUUAAAAUGAAAUAUAGAUGAAUAUAAUUUUUUUCCUUGGUAUAUUUUUGUAUGUAUAGUAGCUUCCGUCAAACCGAGUUUGGUAAGAAUAUUAGUAUUUGCAUUCACAAUUUUACAUCGCUUUUAGAACAUUAUGAAUAAGGGUAUGACUGGUUCAAACACAUCGAUUGCGGUUACGGUUGCAGGAAUUUGCGGAUGCGGGUGGUUGUGGUUUCUAGCGGUUUUAAGAUAUUUGUACGAUUGGUUCUGCAGUUAAAAAUUGGUGUGUUUGCGAGAUACUUAUGACUGGUUAACUAUCCAAUGCAUCAGCGGUUAAAUAAUAAAUUAACAAUAUUUACAUUUUAUAUAAUUAUAAAAAUAUCAAAAAUCAUAAUAUUAUAAUAAAUAUAAAAAUUAUAUUUAGAAAGUUAUAGUUUUAAAUUUUUGAAAAUUAUAGAAAAUAUUUUUAUAAUUUUUAUAAUAUUAAUUAAAAUAUAAUAGAUAUAUUUUAGUAUUUUUAUAAUUCUAAUUUAAAAUUUUUAUUGAAUAUUUUUAUUUUUGUAAUUAUAUUGUUUAAAAAAAUAUUAUCCUGCAGCAACCGUCCGCAACUGCAAACGUUAGCUGAAAACAUCUUUUGAAUUUAUGAGAUUUAGAGCAGUUUGAAGCAGUUUAAAACGGUUUGAGUGAUUGUUGCAAAACGCCAACAACCGCUAACAACCGCAAAAACUGCGUUUGCGGGUGUAGCGGGGAAACCAGUCAUACCCUAAAUCUCUUGAUUUGGGAUAUAAUGUUAUUAGAAUAUUUGGCGUUCAAAGGGAUAAAUAGAUGUUAAAAGCUCGAGUGAAUCAAAUUGACAUCGUCAUGACAAUCUAAUUUUCUGAUGUUAUAAAAGAAGUCAAGAAGUGAUUGUUUGGAAAUCUGGUUGUUGGCUUUUAAACUAUAUAAUUUGUUACUGUAAAUUAAUGGUUGUACCAUAAUAGAAAGAAAGAGUCAACUUCACGUUUCUAUCAAUUUCAUAUUUUAUUUUAGGAUUACAUAUAAUUACUUUCAGAAAAAGAGACUAAACAAUCAAAACAAACAAAAAAAACACCUUGAGAAAUUUGUAACAAACUUUUAUGACAUUUGGUUUAAAACCAUUACAAUUAUGUUUCUAACUAGCAACGAAUUUUAUCAAAAAUCCACCUUAAAUAUUUAAUCUUAAAUAAACUAUAUCAAUAAUUUUGGAUAGCAAUACCUAUGAAUUAUAAAAUCAUGAAAGUUUAACCGGUUAAGGUGUGGUUUUAAAUAGUUAAUCAAAUGAUUAACUAAGCUUGAAAAUAUCAUUUUUAACAGUUUUAUGCGUGUUAGAAUAAAAUAGAAAAAUAACAGAUAAGAAUAAAAAUAUAGGAAUUAUGAGGAAUGAUGAAAAAAGAUUAUUCAUUAUCAAUUUAAUGAAAAACAAAUUUGUUCUAUUUUACUUUACAAUUAAUAAAAAAUGAAAAAAAAUUAUUUUGGUAAAAAAAAUUUGAAAUAUUAAAAACUAUAGUAUUUUUCUUGAUUCCUUUGAUUCUUUUGGUCACCGCUCACCGGUUACACCCUAUGUGAACUUAUUGUAUUAUUUAUAAUCAAGAACUUGAGACACCCAAUAAUUGAAAUAUCUUCUAUUAUCAUCAAGUGUUUGUUUCUAUGGAACUUUAAAAAUCUUUAAACGAAGCAAUUCAUAGAAUCAGGAUAGUGGGGGAAGCCUCCAUAUAAAAGGAAACAAUAAACAUUCAAAAGUAUAAUUGGCCGAAUAUUUGCAAAGACAUUCACUCCAACAAAUUUAACUUCAUCUGAUCAGCUUUUCGUUAAAAUGGUCAUCAUCCGCACAUUUUUCAAUCAAUGGGGGUCUUCAUCACUUUAUAUAUGUCAGAAAGAAAAAACGAAGAACGAGUUUCUUCGAUAAAUCCAAAAAGGUCGAGAUAUGAUAGAAGAAAUAAUGGGAGGAAAUCGAAACAAUUAUUGGAGCGUCACUUCAGGGCGGCUUUAUGAUUCUUUCCUGCCAACUUUGCAGUUGCUCCACCUUCUACUUCGUGACACAGAAUUUAAUAUACACAGCUUUUCAUGCACAUGUUGCUUUAGGGUAUGACGAUAACCAUAUUUCGAAAUUAUCAAUAACUUUUUUUUUUUUUUUCCUUCUAAAUUUUAUUUAUUAUAAAAAUAGUAACCAUACAAGUCCAUUACAAAAAGUAUUUAACCCACCAAAAAACCCAACACAGCUAAACAUUACAAAGGCCAACAACGGCCCAUUGAACAAUUCGCCAACACGAAAGUGGAAACGCAUUGACUACGCAGCCACGUGUUCAAACCACUGUGAAAGAGAAACACGUGGUUGAAAUCACCCCUUCAUGUUCCCGACAUGCAAAUCGACAACGCCGACACGGGAAACCACCGGCUCACCGGGACCAAACCUCACGAUCACAGCCACCACAACUCCACGGCAUCCACCAUCAUUGCCAGAGCACUAACUCUCGGAGAGCUUCAAUCAAACUAUUUUGAGAUCUCAACCGAGCCACACCCACACAGAACAAACAUCACAUGUACCAGAAUCACCCACCGGCGGAGAACGUCGAUAAACCAUCAUCGAGAUAUCAUCCGCCGCCCCAACCCUUUACAACCCAAGAAAGCCAGCCGCCAUCGCCGGAGAAGAAGGCAAAGACGCUGGAGACAAAAGCCGGACGACCAUCGAGAGUAACGACGCGACGCCGGAGACAGAACCGGCCGACCACCGAAGAAAAAAGUGCGUCGCCGGAAACAAAAACCGAUCUGGAAAACUCUCUUAUCUCUACUCCUUGUGAAAGAUUAAAUUUGGAAACAAGGAAAGUAGAGAAAAAAUCCUCUCUCUAAAAGAGAGGAGAGAUCUUUGAGUGAUUUAUACUAUGAAUCAGUUUUUAACUUUUUAUUCCGCAAAACAAAAUUCGAAAUUAUCAAUAACUUAACUGGUGAUAUAAUUAGCAACGGACCAACAUCAAAUAUAGCUGUUGAAUCAAUAAACUCUUUUUAAUCAAAAAGACUUAUGUAGCGGUAAUGUAGAAUGGGUUUAAUUUAUACAGACAAGAAGAGAAUAUCACUGACUAACACAAUUUCGAAUAAUUUGAUAAGAUUUUAGACAUUGCUCCAAACAACAAGAACUUGAAGAAUUUUAUAUUUAUUCAUAUUAAAACCCCCAUUUUUACAACAAGUGUGACUCAACUCAAAAUGUUUUGAAAUCACAAAUCUUUUGUGCUAAAUAAUGAGCAUUUUCUUGAAACCAAUUAAGGUUCUCGAGAGCAAAACCAUGAUGCCAUAGCUUUUUCGAAACUUCAACUUAGUUUUCAACUGGAAUUGAUCUAAAGUUGAUGAAUUAACAUCUUUCCCGAGGCUAAUUAAUCUCUACCAUCAAAUUGAAGGACAUAGUUAUGGUCAAUAACAAAUGAUUCAGCAGUAAAGUACUAGUCAAAAGUACAAAAAAAAAA